UACAGAGGUGGCAAGCGUUGUUCGGAAUUACUGGGCGUAAAGGGCGCGUAGGCGGUCUUGUAAGUCUUGUGUGAAAUCCCUCGGCUUAACUGAGGAACUGCACAGGAUACUGCGAGACUUGAGUUCGGGAGAGGGAAGCGGAAUUCCGGGUGUAGCGGUGAAAUGCGUAGAUAUCCGGAGGAACACCGGUGGCGAAGGCGGCUUCCUGGACCGACACUGACGCUGAGGCGCGAAAGCGUGGGGAGCAAACAGG
rnacentral:rRNA from 1 species